rnacentral:lncRNA from 1 species
GUCGUCUGUCAUGGUCAAAGGUGGCCGCUUCACCGGAUAUUUUCCUUUCGAUUGUCUCCAUCUUGACAUCCACUUUGGUGAGCGGAGGAACCUAGAAGGCAUGACACAGAAAAGAUGCGUCAAACAGUUUUUUACGGGGUAGUAAAUUGCAUAAGGAGGAGCAAAAGGACAUUUUGUCUCAUGAGAAGGUCUCCGAGGAUCUGGGCACCUCCCCUGCACGCUAAGGUUGUGCCUGGGAAUCAUCUUGGGGGUUUUAAUCUAAAUCUAAAAAUCUAUUCCAUGGUCCUUCUCUGUUUGAGAUCUGGCUGGGUCCUGGCAUUGUGCAUUUUGGAAAAGGUGCAGAGUGACUUUGAUGUGUACUCCUGGUUGAGAGCUGCUGUUCUGCAGGAUCAAGGGGAAAAGACUAGCAGAUGCAAGCCAUAUGCACCUGCCUCAGGUGCCCUGGGAUAGGCCACAGCGUGUAGUGGUCCAAUCCCAGCUGCACUGCUUGGUAGCUG